rnacentral:rRNA from 1 species
GACGAACGCUGGCGGCGUGCUUAACACAUGCAAGUCGAACGGAAAGGCCUCUUUCGGGGGGUACUCGAGUGGCGAACGGGUGAGUAACACGUGAGUAACCUGCCCUUGACUUUGGGAUAACUUCAGGAAACUGGGGCUAAUACCGGAUAGGAGCUCCUGCUGCAUGGUGGGGGUUGGAAAGUUUCGGCGGUUGGGGAUGGACUCGCGGCUUAUCAGCUUGUUGGUGGGGUAGUGGCUUACCAAGGCUUUGACGGGUAGCCGGCCUGAGAGGGUGACCGGCACAAUGGGGAAGGAGAGCGGGCCCGGACGCCGGGGGGGGGAGGAGGGGGGGAUGUUGGAAAAAGGGGUGGGGGCCUGAAGCAGCACGGCCGUGGGGGGGAGGGGGGUCUUGGGGUUGGAACCCGCUUCCGCCCGGGAAAAAGUUUGGUGGGAGGGGGGGGGAAAAAGAAGCACGGCUAACCUAGGUC